UACGAAGGGGGCUAGCGUUGUUCGGAAUCACUGGGCGUAAAGCGCACGUAGGCGGAUCUUUAAGUCAGGGGUGAAAUCCCGAGGCUCAACCUCGGAACUGCCUUUGAUACUGGGGAUCUCGAGUCCGGGAGAGGUGAGUGGAACUGCGAGUGUAGAGGUGAAAUUCGUAGAUAUUCGCAAGAACACCAGUGGCGAAGGCGGACUCACUGGCCCGGAACUGACGCUGAGGUGCGAAAGCGUGGGGAGCAAACAGGG
rnacentral:rRNA from 1 species